CCUCCUUCACGAGCCCCGCAGCACGACGAGGACACCAGACCCCCUGUUUAUUUUGGACACUUCUUUCCCUGGACACUUUAUUUUGUUAAUAAAAGCCUCUCCGAGGCCUGACACCACACCCACUGUGUCUGUCGUUGGCUCCUCCCGUCACAUUUGGAUCAAAUAAAUGCAGCCUUGUUUCUGCUGUUUUCCUGGGUUCCAGUUUCCUGCCACUGUUUUGGAUAUUUUGGAUAUUUCACCCACGAUGUCUUGACUCUUCUGUUGUUUAUUUGUUUGUUUGUUCCUAAUAAACUGUUUAACUGCA